rnacentral:rRNA from 1 species
AGCAGUAGCCGCGGUAAUACGAAGGGUGCAAGCGUUAAUCGGAAUUACUGGGCGUAAAGCGUGCGUAGGCGGUGAGUUAAGUCUGCUGUGAAAUCCCCGGGCUCAACCUGGGAAUGGCAGUGGAUACUGGCUCGCUAGAGUGUGUCAGAGGAUGGUGGAAUUCCCGGUGUAGCGGUGAAAUGCGUAGAGAUCGGGAGGAACAUCAGUGGCGAAGGCGGCCAUCUGGGACAACACUGACGCUGAGGCACGAAAGCGUGGGGAGCAAACAGGAUUAGAUACCCGCGUAGUCCCUGUCUCUUAUAC